UGCCAGCAGCCGCGGUAAUACGAAGGGGGCUAGCGUUGUUCGGAAUUACUGGGCGUAAAGAGCAUGUAGGCGGAUUGGACAGUUGGAGGUGAAAUCCCGGAGCUCAACUCCGGAACUGCCUUCAAUACUUCCAGUCUAGAAUCUGUAAGGGGGUGGUGGAAUUCCGAGUGUAGAGGUGAAAUUCGUAGAUAUUCGGAGGAACACCAGUGGCGAAGGCGACCACCUGGACCGGUACUGACGCUGAGGCGCGAAAGCGUGGGGAGCAAACAGGAUUAGAUA
rnacentral:rRNA from 1 species